rnacentral:rRNA from 1 species
UACAGAGGAUGCAAGCGUUAUCCGGAAUGAUUGGGCGUAAAGCGUCUGUAGGUGGCUUUUAAGUCCGCCGUUAAAUCCCAGGGCUCAACUCUGGACAGGCGGUGGAAACUACCAAGCUGGAGUACGGUAGGGCAGAGGGAAUUUCCGGUGGAGCGGUGAAAUGCGUAGAGAUCGGAAAGAACACCAACGGCGAAAGCACUCUGCUGGGCCGACACUGACACUGAGAGACGAAAGCUAGGGGAGCGAAUGGG